rnacentral:rRNA from 1 species
UACGGGGGGGGCAAGCGUUGUUCGGAAUUACUGGGCGUAAAGGGCUCGUAGGUGGCCAACUAAGUCAGACGUGAAAUCCCCCGGCUUAACCGGGGAACUGCGUCUGAUACUGGAUGGCUAGAGUGUGGGAGAGGGAUGCGGAAUUCCAGGUGUAGCGGUGAAAUGCGUAGAUAUCUGGAGGAACACCGGUGGCGAAGGCGGCAUCCUGGACCAUGACUGGCACUGAAAAGCGAAAGCCAGGGGAGCAAACGGG